rnacentral:piRNA from 1 species
GCCUGGCCAACAUGGCAAAACGUCGUGUCUAA